rnacentral:tRNA from 1 species
GCCCAGGGUGGUGUGGCGGUAACAUCACCGAAACUCUAGAUCGGUAGACCUGGGUUCGAAUCCCAGCCCUGGCC